UGAUGCAACGGUUAUAACAGUCAGAUCUUCAGACCAUCCAGUUUAUUUCUGGCCAUAUCUCCCUAUGUUAAUUUAUCUCUGUGUAAUGACCAGGGAAGCACAAAGGUAUAGGUGAAAUAAUGUAUACAAUAUAGGAAGUCAGAACAAACACACAGACUUGAUCUCCUGCUAGACUGUUGGGAGCUGAAGCUUGGGCCAUAUACCAUUGCAGAACGGUGUGUCCUGCUGGACUGCUGAGCUGAAGUUUAGGAAGAAUGAAGCAGGAAAGGACAGAAAGCUUGGUAUCCAUGGGGGGCCAAGGAAGAGCUAUUUCCUUACUGCACCGUAAAUAAAACUCCUUCCCUCUUCCCAUGUGACAGGGCCUGAUCCUGAAGAGAAAACGUGAAUUCAAAUCAAGGGGAGGCCUUGCAUAAGGAUCGCAAGAGGAGACGAUAAUGCAUUAAAUUAUGGCUUCUGUCUAAUUGUCACAAGGGUCAGUAUCUCAUCAGCUUGUCAUGCCAUUUCAAAUCUUUCCAGGAAAUGUAACCUUCCCCCUUGCUCUUCUCUUCUUGCUUUUG